rnacentral:rRNA from 1 species
UACAGAGGUCCCAAGCGUUGUUCGGAUUCACUGGGCGUAAAGGGUGCGUAGGCGGUUGGGUAAGUCUGUCGUGAAAUCUCCGAGCCUAACUCGGAAACUGCGUCGGAUACUAUUCAACUCGAGGAAUGGAGGGGAGACUGGAAUUCUCGGUGUAGCAGUGAAAUGCGUAGAUAUCGAGAGGAACACCAGUGGCGAAGGCGAGUCUCUGGACAUUUCCUGACGCUGAGGCACGAGAGCCAGGGGAGCAAACGGG